rnacentral:rRNA from 1 species
CGGGACGGGGUGGAGUAAUGUCUGGGAACGUAGCCUGAUGGAGGGGGAUAACUACUGGAAACGGUAGCUAAUACCGCAUAACGUCGCAAGACCAAAGAAGGGGGGACCGUUCGGGCCUCUUGCCAUCGGAUGUGCCCAGAUGGGAUUAGCUAGUAGGUGGGGUAACGGCUCACCUAGGCGACGAUCCCUAGCUGGUCUGAGAGGAUGACCAGCCACACUGGAACUGAGACACGGUCCAG